UACGGGGGGGGCAAGCGUUGUUCGGAAUUACUGGGCGUAAAGGGCCAGUAGGCGGCCAACUAAGUCGGAUGUGAAAUCCCCAGGCUUAACCUGGGAACUGCAUCCGAUACUGGAUGGCUUGAAUUCGGGAGAGGGAUGCAGAAUUCCCGGUGUAGAGGUGAAAUUCGUAGAUAUCGGGAGGAACACCGGUGGCGAAGGCGGCGACCUGGGUCGAUACUGACGCUGAGGUGCGAAAGCGUGGGGAGCAAACAGG
rnacentral:rRNA from 1 species